rnacentral:rRNA from 1 species
AGAGUUUGAUCCUGGCUCAGGAUGAACGCUGGCGGCGUGCUUAACACAUGCAAGUCGAACGGGCUCAUAUUGAAACCUAGUGAUGUAUGAGUUAGUGGCGGACGGGUGAGUAACGCGUGGAGAACCUGCCGUAUACUGGGGGAUAACACUUAGAAAUAGGUGCUAAUACCGCAUAAGCGCACAGCUUCGCAUGAAGCAGUGUGAAAAACUCCGGUGGUAUACGAUGGAUCCGCGUCUGAUUAGCUGGUUGGCGGGGUAACAGCCCACCAAGGCGACGAUCAGUAGCCGGCCUGAGAGGGUGAACGGCCACAUUGGGACUGAGACACGGCCCAAACUCCUACGGGAGGCAGCAGUGGGGAAUAUUGCACAAUGGGGGAAACCCUGAUGCAGCGACGCCGCGUGAGUGAAGAAGUAUUUCGGUAUGUAAAGCUCUAUCAGCAGGGAAGAAAAUGACGGUACCUGACUAAGAAGCCCCGGCUAACUACGUGCCAGCAGCCGCGGUAAUACGUAGGGGGCAAGCGUUAUCCGGAUUUACUGGGUGUAAAGGGAGCGUAAACGGCAGCGCAAGUCUGAAGUGAAAUCCC